GUAUUGCGCAUGGGCGCACGCCUGACGCCGCAACGCCGCUGGUGGGUGAUGAAGGCCUUCGGGUUGUAAACCCCUUGUCGGCCGGGACGAAAUGGACCGUGGCCUGCUGAACAAGCUGGCGGCUGGCUCCCUGCCAGCAGCCCCGGUGAUAUUUC
rnacentral:rRNA from 1 species